rnacentral:rRNA from 1 species
UACGUAGGGUGCGAGCGUUGUCCGGAAUUAUUGGGCGUAAAGGGCUCGUAGGCGGUUUGUCGCGUCGGGGGUGAAAACCCAGGGCUUAACUCUGGGCUUGCUUUCGAUACGGGCAGACUAGAGGUAUGCAGGGGAGAACGGAAUUCCUGGUGUAGCGGUGAAAUGCGCAGAUAUCAGGAGGAACACCGGUGGCGAAGGCGGUUCUCUGGGCAUUACCUGACGCUGAGGAGCGAAAGUGUGGGGAGCGAACAGG